GAAAUGCGAUACCUGGUGUGAAUUGCAGAAUCCCGUGAACCAUCGAGUCUUUGAACGCAAGUUGCGCCCGAGGCCAUCCGGCCGAGGGCACGCCUGCCUGGGCGUCACGCCAAAAGACGCUCCGCGCGCCCCCCCUAUCCGGGAGGGCGCGGGGACGCGGUGUCUGGCCCCCCGCGCCUCGCGGCGCGGUGGGCCGAAGCUCGGGCUGCCGGCGAAGCGUGCCGGGCACAGCGCAUGGUGGACAGCUCACGCUGGCUCUAGGCCGCAGUGCACCCCGGCGCGCGGCCGGCGCGGUGGCCCCUCAGGACCCAAACGCACCGAGAGCGAACGCCUCGGACCGCGACCCCAGGUCAGGCGGGACUACCCGCUGAGUUUAA
rnacentral:misc_RNA from 1 species